ensembl:lncRNA
CUCCUACCUUAGUUUGUCUGAUUGACGUGUCACUGCAGCAGAUGGGUCAGCUUGAAAAUCCUCUUAGCAACUUUCUGCUGAUGGUGAUUCAUUGAGUAAAGCCCUACACUUUCUCAUCACUAGAUUAGAGGCUCCACUCUGUAGACUAUCAAUGUAUUGUAGGCCUUGGCAUAGCCACGGAACUUUUGGAACUCAGUAUUUGGUGGAGCUGAAAUUUUAGACUGAAACAUGUCUACUGACAAGAAGCCCAAGAAGAAGAAGGCGGAGUCUACUGUAGCAGAGACCAAUGGGACAGAAGCUAAACCGAAAAAAACUAAGAGUAAAAAAAAUGGAGAAUUGUCCACAGAGAACAGCCCGGCUGCUCAAAGUAAGACAGAGCUUUAAGCCCACAGUGUUUGUCUUUCAUGGUACCUUUGCAAUAAAUCUGCCUAAACUCUGAAGCACGAAAUCCUAACUUUGGCACAAAAUCACUGAAACAGAUGGCGAGAAGGUGAAGAAAAAGAAAACGGAGAAGGAGAAAGAAAAGGAAUCGCUGCCAAAAGAAAAAGCUGAACCCAAAAAGAAAGCCAAAAGUGCCCCAAAGAAGAAGAAGAGUGAGUUCAUUUACUGUCUCCCUUAUAAUAACAGUACAAACUUGUGCUACCUGCAAAAUAAAUCUCAC